CCCUCUAGCCAGACUUGAGAAGCCUUACUGGGUACAGUGGAGUGAAGUUGAGUAAAAGUGGAUUAUUUUUCUCUUUCUAUGUUCCACAGCUAUGCUCAUUCCUUAGCUUGCCAACUUCUAUUUUAUAUCCCUCUGGAACAAACAGGUGCCCAGGAGAUUAAAAUUUCAUGGGGGGAGGCAGAGAGGAACAGGAGAGGGAGGUGAGCAGAAAGGUUCCAACUUGUUUAAAACUGUAGUGGUACAAUGUUAUAAUCUCUGUAAGUUAGCUAAAUAACAGAAUUUAUCUGUGAGUUUGUCUUUUGCAGUUCCAUUGUUUAUUGUAGCUGAUCACUCACUCUUACCUUGGGCACUAAGCAUCUAGAGUUGGAUAUAGCUUUUUUUGGAAAGGUCCAUUUGCCACCUAUGCUGCACUAUUAGAAAGCAAGUGAGGGUGGUCCACACAACCUCCCUAGUAUGUAGAAUCCACAAUUUCUCCUCAGGAUAUAGUCAUGCACUCUUGGCCCAUGAAACUCUUUAAUAUGCAAAUUUUCCUGCCUGUGUUGUGUUUUCAGGCAUGAAUAAAACACCAGUCUUAAACUGAGGAGGACAAUUCUGAAACAUAGUCUCCAUAAAGAUUCUCUCUCUUGAACUGAGUAUAGGAGGAAACAAACUCAUACCUAGGGCAAAAUUUAGCUCUCACUAAAACUCCAAUUAAAAAAUAGAACAAAACUAAUUCCACCAAUGUCCUCACAGUCUAUAUGCUUGAUAUGGAUGAGGAGAUUUAAAAAUGACAGCAUUAGGUACCUAUGAUCUUUUUUGCAUACAAUGAUAGUGUCAUCAAAAUUCACUUUAUCCUUGGGUUUCUGUGGAAAACUCCACUUUAAUGUGAUGUUAUGUCUGCUAGAAAAAAAUAACUCUAUAAAAAUCCUGUUUCCUAGGGUUUAGAAGCUCAGGUUCUGAAAAGAGACAACAUGGGUUCAAAUCUGUUGUUUUCAUCAGGUGUGCAAUGUUCAAAAACAGUUUUAAGAUUCUAAACCUUGGUUUUUAUCUCAAAAGUGGAAGAUAGAACAGAAUGCACCUGGAGAUUAUUGGUAAGAUAAACAAUUUAAUAUAAAGAACCAGUGUGUCUGCAACAUGGUAAAUUCUCAAUACAUAAUAACAAAAUAAUCUUCAUUGGUUACCACCAAAGUUCUACUUCUGUAUCAGUAUGUAACAGUCAAAUAUACUUUAAUUUGAAUAUUAUUUCUCUGAAAACAUGAUUAAACAAACAAAACUAAAUGAACAGUAUCAUUGUUCAAAUGACUGCACUUUGAUGAAAUAAUACAUUUCUGUGACACUUGAAUACAUAUUACAGUUUUCCAUUGCUUUUCUCUCCUAUUUUCUACCCUCUAUUUGCCUAUCCCUUUAUUUUCAGAUUUUUUUCUUGUUUUCAGCUAUCUUCUUUCUAUCUUUUCCCUUAUGUAUAAACCCCAUGUCCAUAUAUAAAUCAAGAAAUCAUCCAGCUUUUAAAAGUUGCUAAUAACUACUUAUAUUUUGAAUAUUUUAAAAAACUUCAAUAAACUGAAAAUGUCAAUGAGUUUGUUUUACCUUAGCUGAAGAGACAAUGUUUACAAUUUAGACUCAUCAGCUAUGAAUAAGGAAAAAAAAAUAACAAUCACAAUUGAAUCCUUGUUAGAAGAUCCCUAUUGAAAGGUAAAUCCUCAUGUGACAAAGAUUUUCCGUUUAUUACAUGGGAUCUAACAUCUAUUGUCUGUCUCUGAAAGCUGUCUGAAUUGAUCACAAUAAAUAGAGACAAGCUUAGCAGAAUGAAUGUCUUUCAUAAUCAUGCUUUACAUGGGUGUUGGAAUAGGGUGAUAACUUCCUGUUCUGUUCUAUUUUAUAGGAGCAGGAGAAAUUACAUGGAUGAAAGAGAAUCAGGCAGAUUAUUCCCUUUAGUUCCCCUAAAUUUCUUAUAGUUAAGGGUGAUAUAAGACCAGGAGAUGAAAAAAAAAAAAUCAAGUUAGACACAACAUUGAAAGCAUAGCAUUACUAAAAGAAGAGUUCUUUAUGAUCAAAGCUGAGGAAAAUUUUGUAGACAGGAAGUACAGAAAUAAAUGGUCUAGUCAUUUAACAGACUUUCAAAAUUUGUAUUACCCAGAGGUAGAUAAGUUAUGAGUGUAGAACUUCCUUUCUUCUACCAAAAAAAAGGGUAAAAUUAAUCCUUCCUCAAAACAAUCUCUAACACAUGUUAAGUAAUAAAUAUUUAUCUUCAGCUGCUUCCACCCAACUUGUUCCCAUGUUUUAUUCCCAUUAGGAGACAUAUUCAACAAUUAAAAUAAAUAGGUCAACAUAAUAGAUAACAAUGAAAACAGCUCUGCUGUUAUUAAUGAUUUAUAAGAAAUAAUUGUAAAUAAAGGAUAUCAUCUUUUCUUAUUUCCAUGCCAUUGAUAUUGAUCAUUUUUAAUAUCUCUAUAUACUUAUAUUGUCCUAAAAAUAAACACAAGAUUUAUAACCACAUAGAUUCAUUUUCUUCCAAUCUUUCUCCUUUCUGGGCCAAUGCAAAGAGAGCUAGAUGGACAGGGAUAUGUUAUGUAUAUAAAAUGGUCUGAAGUAAAAGGGAGGAACCCUAAAAAUAUGCAUCUGUGAGCUCAUAGAUGCACUGUCUCCCUUUCCUUUCACAGGAGGAAGAGUAACUCAAUCUCCUUGAUGAAAACAAAUAGUCCUUGGGAGAAAAGAAAAGAGGAAGGACCGUGGGAAUGUAAGUAAUUUCUCUAGGGAAAGAGAAGACAAGUAAUUCAAUGUUUCAACCUUUGGAAAGUUUCUGGAUUUUAUCCCUGUUUGACAUUUUAAAAAUACAAUUUCAUAAAGUAAAAUCCUUUACUAUCCAUUCAGUCAUUUUCCAAGUAAAGUGUUGUCCUUUCAUUUAGGUCCCAAGUUUCUGUUUUAGUUUUGUUCAGAAAGCCCUAACCAUAUAGAAACUUGAAAACAUUUUCUCUACGAUCUUACAAAUAUCAAGUAUCAUAUUCCGUUCUUUUAUAUACAUUUGUGGUAUAAGAUUUUUUUUUUAAUUCUGACUUUUUUUUUCUCUCAUCGUGACAUUCACUUUUUAUUGAUCAAAAUGUUAACUUUUCAUGGUAGAUGUCUCUGGUCUUUGCAAAAGCUCUUCUUUUAGUUACAUGUAUAAAUCUCUAAGGCUUAGGUUGUGGUUUUCAUUCUAAUAAUAUCAGAGAGAAAAGGAAUUGAAAAUAUCAAAUAGAAAAUGAUGGGAGUAAAAGUAGACCACAGCCUACACAAUGCAUCUGGGAGUGACCAAAGCUCAACAUUUCAUCUGGAAAAAUAAUAGAAAUAGAGGUGCAGUGAUGAGGUAAUUUGUCCAAUGAUGUUGUCUGGGGUGCAAUGCUAAUUUAAGUUUGUUUUGUAAGGUUUUGUAUCAUUCUUUAAUCCUAGAUACUCAAGAAAAAAUACUAUCUCAGUAGAAUAACAAUAGAUUCAGUACACUCCAACUUUCAGUCAUAUACCUUAAGAGGUUAUAGCAAGUAAAAAUGUUUACCCCAAAUUGCCUAAAAAAUGAGAUUAAAAAAAUUGAUCAUCAGCUACUGGUAUGAACAUUGUUCCAGUGACCCUAGAAACAUGAUUCACCCUUCCACCAGGCAGUAAAAUGAAACAACCCUAAACCCACCUAGGCACUUUCUGUAAAUUGUUCCAGUGACCACUCAUUGAUACUUUUAUCCUAGUUGAUGUCUAUGGGACACCAUAUGCUAUAUCAAUAGUAAUAUUUCUCUUUAUACUAUAAUUCUCCACACACUAAUAUUCUCCAUAUAUUCUAACAAAUUUUCAUAUUAGUAAAGUACAUAUGAAGUUCUAUACAUGGUUCUGGCACUUGGUGUGCAAUAAUUUACUUUAAUAUGCACAAAGGAUUAAUUAGUAUCCCUAUUUACUCAUGAGCCUCAAAGAGACCAAAUAAAGUGCUCACAGUCACUCAGCAUGUUGAGACUUGGUUUGAGUCCAGGUUACCUGGCUCCAGAGACCACAUUCUUCACCAUUUUUCCGUAGUGACUUUUAUAAAUGCAACCCCAAAGUAAUGUUUGUAAAUAUAUCAUACAAACUCAGACCAGUUGGCAUAGGACAAUGUAAGAGAAAUAUUUCAGGAGAAUUCUGAUGUCAGAGAAUGUAAUAAGCAAUAAUUUCUAAAUUUAGUCCAUGCAUAGUUCCCAAACUGGUCAUUGCCUUUAUUUUCAGCAGCUGAAGAAAUGGCAGUAAUUCAUAGAAAAUCAUUUGUCUGGGGGAAAUAGGCAAAAAUUUCAAUCCAUGAGUGUUAUAAAGAACAUUUAACUUUUUUUUUUUUUUUUACUUUCCUCACCUUUACAACAUGAUCUAUGAUACCUUUAAAUUUGACUUAAAUGUGUAUAGAAGAUGUCAUAAUGUUAAUAUGCCUCAUAUCAUAAAUUCUAUAGGUAUAUUUAAGAAAAAUAUCCAACCAACAUUCUAAAUUGUGCUGUGCAAAUGUUUACACAGAAAAGACAACCCCUAUAUGGUAAAUGCAUAACUCUAACUUUUAUGGUAAAUCUAAUUUUUUUCUAUUAUUUCCCACAGAAUAUUGUUUUCUGAUAUUUUAUCACAAAAUUAGCCAGGUUAUUGGGAUGUAAAAAUAUCCAAUUAUCUACCUAUUCAUUUAUUUCAUUAAAAAUAUCUAAUUUUGGGGGUUCCCAAUGUGGCUUAGAGGUAACAAACCUGACUAGGAUCCAUGAGUUGCGGGUUUGAUCCCUGGCCUUUCUCAGUGGAUUAAGGAUUCAGUAUUUCCCUGAGCUGUGGUAUAGGUCACAGAUGUGGCUCAGAUCUGGUAUUGCUGUGGAAUAGGCCAGCAGCAGUAACUCCAAUUAGACCCCUAGCCUGGGAACUUCCGUAUGCCAUGGAUGCAGUGCUAAAAAGCAAAAACAAAACAAAACAAAACAAACAAACAAACAAAAAAAUGCUUCCCUUGUGCAGAGGUUGGUCCUGGGAAUAUAAUGCUAAAUAAAGGAAAAUCACUGUAUCAUGGAGCCUACACACUGAAUGAGUUUGGGAAGAACUGAGGAAAGUGGCUCAGGAAAAAUUACAAAAUGAAUAGUGAAAAUCAGUGUACAGUACUACAUUCAGAGCGAAGUAUAUAAAUUUUUACACCAUUAUAACAAAGUUAAAAAUAAAAAUGACAUACAUUCUCCACAGGGAGACAAAUCUGACCAUCAAUACCAGACAAAUCUGGCCAGUAUAGGUACAUCAUCAAUUGUUGAAUAAUACAAUUUCAUUGUCUAAAUACAAUUUCAAUCUUUCAAAUGAAAUUCUGAUCACUAGUUUUUGACCUGAUCAUUUUUAAUUGUCUAUGAAUUGGCUUCAGCAUUCAUACCACAAUACACAUUAUUAGCAUAUUAGAGGCAUCCUUAACUUAUGAAAUAACUUAGCUAAGAUAUGUUAUGGGAUAAAAAUAUAAGUGUAAAUGCAUAAAUGUCACAAACUAAUCUGAACUAAAAACUACUACCAAAAUGUAAUCCAGUAUAAUAAAUAAUUAUUGCAGAAGUGGAUCAAGAUGGCAGAGGGGUAAGAUGUCUUAACUCACCUUCUCCUACAAAUACAUAAAAAAAAAAAUCUACAUAUAAAAUGACUGAGACAGAACAUCUACUGAACUCUGGCAGAAGAACUUAAACCUUCAAAAAGGGCAAUAAACUCUUAACAUAAUUGGGUAGAACAAAGAAAAAAGAGAGAGAGAAAAUGAGUCAGGAUGGUACUAGCAUUCUCGAGAGGGAUCUGUGAAAGAGAAAAAGAACCAACAUCCUGGGAAGCCACCUAACCAGCUGGAGAUAAGCCAAGAUGGAGUGACCUCAAAAUCACCAAGAAAAGUGCAGCAGCUGGACUGAGGAGGGCUAAGUAAAGUGAGAACCACACAGAUCAUCUGCACCACUGCCCUGGAUGCCACAGCUUGAGAUGCUCAGGUGGGGGCAGGGUCCUGAGAUUUAAGCUCUGGAAGCCAGUCCCUGGGAGAGGACCAGGUUUGGCUGUGUGGGGACAGCCUAAGGAGCUAAGGAGCAGAGUGCUAUGGGAUGGGGAGUGGAACGCCAUGGCAGAGGGAACCAGGAAGAAGGUAGGUGUCCACAAGAGAAGCAAGACAUCAUUUUGGGGGAGGGAAAGAGGAUGAGGGGUGGACCACCAUAAGAAUCUACCUGACCAUGCAUGUGUGUGCAGGCUCUCAGAGGCCAGGGCACCUCUGUUACAGGCUAUGUGUGGUGAGAAGCCACUUGCUCAACUAUGAGAAACUGGGCACUUCUUGUGCAGGCUACGGGUGGCCAGGCACCACUUGUGUGGGCUAAGGGCAGCAGGGGGCUGAGUGUGACAUUCCAUGAUCUACAGGUGGCAGGAACAGACAGUGGAGGUUGUCUCCAAGGCCAGAGUGAGGUGUGGCCUGCCACCACUGGCCUGUGAGUGGGCUCCACCUGUGGCCCCAGGCACCUCAGGG
rnacentral:lncRNA from 1 species